AGAUUUGAUGCACUCCGGUUGUGCUGACCCCUGCGAAUUCCCCAAAUGUGGGAAUCUCGACUGCAUAAUUUCUGGUAGUGGGGGACUGCGUUCGCGCUCUCCCCUG
rnacentral:snRNA from 1 species